AUCCUCUUUGUACAGCCGCCCCCACCUAUCUUCUUCUUCUUCGUGUUUCACCUCAACCCGCAGCCUCUGUCUUCUGCUCUCCGUGCACCAGCGCUGCUUUCCCCUCUCCUCCCCUCCGUAAAGCUCCUUAACCGUCGAGUCCCUGCAAAGCCCACUGUUCGAUUCAAUCGUUUACACCUCCAUCCGUACGCUCAACCCAGUCUCCGUCGCACGCAAAUCCCAGUCGAGAGCCACCUCCCACCCAAUUGCGGCUCGUUCCAAUCUGGUGAGUCACUUCCUGUUCGUCAGCUUCAACCCCCAGACUGCGCACGUCGCUCAGCUUGUUACCUCUUUGUUUGAGCCGCACGCCACAACGGGUUUCUCCCAUUUUCGUUUUCCAAUCGCAUUCCUCACGAACCCAGUCGCCGCCGUAUCCUGUCCGCCUCCCUCUCCGUUUGCACGUCUAGAAUCGUCGUCACCUACAGAUCCGCCAACCGUCGAGGUAAAGGUAAUGUACGAGGCAGACCGGCAAGGGGCAAGAAGGAUACGUGAAGGUCAUAUGGAAAUGUCUAGUUAUAUUGCUUCCGCUCAAUGUCAUUGUUGUUUUUGUUUUGAGGAUUUUAAUUUAAGUUUUGGUUAGAACAUUUGUUCAUUUGUUUUGUUUGAAAUUCCAUAGACUAUGUUUUGAAACUUUUGGAAUUAAUUUGAAAUAGGGCCCGAAGAUGAUUUUAUUACAUCUUGAAGUUUUAAUGAAUUUUGAUCAAGUUCUUAAUUGAGUUUUUUAUGUUAGAUGUCGAGUCUUAGCAGUAAGUAAUGACCUCAACUUAGACUGAAAAGUUGGGUCUUUACAGUUGGUGUCAGAGCCUAAGUUUUAGGUUAUGUAGACUGACUUAUGAUGUAAGUCUAUGUUUUGUGUCCCUAUGGCUAGAACGAUCAUUUACCGCUCGUUAGGUAUGCUCUUAUGAAUUAUAUGUAUAACUCUAUAUGUAUGAUCUUGCCUAAGUUAAACUGCGAAGUGAAUUAUUGUUGAGACUAAAGGAGUUACUGGUGGUUAUUAGGAAAAUGCUACCAAGAAGAGGUUCUUAUAGGAGUGGUCAAGAAGGUCGAGGAAGUGGAGCAGGAUGUGUCCAACCUGGAGUGCAACCGUAGUUCAAGCUACCAAUCCUGCUGCACCAGUCACUCAUGCAAACCUCGCUGCUAUGAAGCAGAGGUUCAGAGACUUAAUUAUGUAGACGCAGACACCGCAGUAGCUUGUCCCGCCAGUUCCUACUCAGGCUCUAGUCGAACCCCAGAGCGUGCCAGACCAGCUGUCAGCAGAGGCUAAACAUUUAAGGGAUUUCAGAAAAUACAAUCCUAAGACUCUUGACGGGUCUUUAGAGGACACCACCAAGGCUUAGAUGUGGUUAUCUUCUGUGGAUACCAUAUUUUGAUACAUUAAGUGUCAUAACAAUCAGAAGGUUCAAUACGCCGUGUUUAUGUUGACAGACAGAGGCACCGUCUGGUGGGAGACGACAAAGAGGAUGCUAGGGGGUGACGUGAAUCAUAUCACCUGGGAGUAGUUUAAGGAGAGUUUCUAUGUGAAGUUCUUCUCUACCAAUUUGAGAGAUGUCGAGCGGUAAGAGUUCUAAACUUGGAGUAAGGUGAUAGGACCGUGGAGUAGUAUGAUGCUGAUUUUGACAUGCUGUCUCGCUUGCUCUGAGGCUGCCAGGGCCAAUAAGCUUGUUAGAGGUCUCAGGCUAGAUAUCCUGGGCCUCGUUUGAGCCUUCCGACCUGCCACCCAUGCUGAUGCACUGCAUCUGACAGUGGAUAUCAGUUUACAAGAGAAGGCUAAUUUGUCCAAGAUAGCAGGAAAAUGGUCAACCUCAUGAUAGAAAAGGAAGGCUGAGCAACAGAGGAACUUGAGAUUAGGUGGCGAUCUACGUCAUUUUCAGCAAAAAUUGUUUGAGACAAGGGAACUGGCCAGAGAGAAGCCAUUAUGUACCACCUGUUGGAAGUACCAUCUGGGUCUUUGUUUGUUUGAGACUAAGACUUGCUUCAAGUGUAAGCUAGAGGGGCAUACAACUGAUAGAUGUCCUAUGAGGAUUACUGGGGUUGCUCAGAAUUAGAGAGCAGAUGCACCACAGCAGGAUAAGGUCUUUGCUACGAAUAAAUCUGAGGCCGAGAGAGCAGGCACUAUUGUGACAGGUACGCUUUCAGUGUUGGGGAAUUAUGCCUUAGUUCUGUUUGAUUCUGGUUUAUCACAUUCCUUUAUCUGUUUUGUAUUUGUAUCACAUGCAUGCUUAGAAGUAGAACCCCUAGAUCAUGUCUUAUCAGUGUCUACUCCAUCUGGGGAGAGUAUGUUGUCAAAAGAAAAGACAAAAGCAUGCCAGAUUGAGAUAGUGAGUCGUGUAAUAGAUAUAACAUUGUUAGUCUUAGAUAUGCAUGAUUUUGAUGUAAUUCUAGGUAUGGAUUAGCUAGCUGCUAAUCAUACUAGUAUAGAUUGUUCCCGUAGGGAGGUGGUGUUUAAUCCUCCUACAAGGACCAGUUUUAAGUUUAAAGAGGUAGGAACAGUAGUAUUACCUAAGGUGAUCUCAACUAUGAAAGCCAGGAAGCUACAUAACCAGGGUACCUAGAGUAUACUGGCCAAUGUGGUGGAUACUAGAGAAGCUGAUGUUUCCUUGUCAUUAGAACCUAUGGUGAGGGAUUAUCUAGAUGUUUUUCAUGAAGAACUUCCAAGAUUACCCCCUCACAAGGAGAUUGAUUUUGCUAUUGAGCUGGAACCUGAUACUAUUCCUAUAUCUAAAGCUCCUUACAGAAUGGCCCCAGUUGAAUUGAAAGAGCUGAAGGUUCAGUUGCAGUAGUUGCUUGACAAAGGUCUCAUUCGACCGAGUGUGUCACCUUGGGGUGCACCAGUUUUGUUUGUUAAAAAGAAAGACGGGUUGAUGCGCUUGUAUAUUGACUACAGAGAGUUAAAUAAGGUAGCUAUUAAGAACAAAUAUCCUUUACCUAGGAUUGAUGAUCUGUUUGACCAGUUGCUGGGAGCUACAGUGUUCUCUAAGAUUGACCUUCAUUCAGGAUACCAUCAGCUGAGGAUUAAGGAUAGUGAUAUAUCGAAAACAACAUUUCGUUCAAGAUAUGGCAUUAUGAGUUCAUUGUGAUGUCCUUUGGAUUGACAAAUGCUCCAGUAGUGUUUAUGGAUUUGAUGAACAGAAUCUUUAAAGACUUCUUAGACACUUUUGUAAUUGUUUUUAUUGACGAUAUUUUGGGAUAUUUCAAGACAGAGGCAGAGCAUGAAGAGCAUUUACGCAUAGUUCUAGAGACCUUUCGAGCCAAUAAAUUAUAUGCAAAAUUUUCAAAAUGCGAGUUUUGGUUGAAGCAGGUAUCUUUUCUAGGCCAUGUGGUCUCUAAAGAUGGCAUUUUUGUGGACCCAACAAAGAUAGAAGCUGUUACUAGUUGGCCUCGACCUUCCACAUUUAGUGAAGUUCAUAGCUUUCUGGGUUUAACAGGCUAUUACCGACGGUUUAUGGAGGACUUUUCUCGUGAGCUACUCCCUUAGAGAACUCAUUUACAUGGGUGCAGAAUUUCAGUAGAACUCAUUUACAUUAUAUGCAAUGAAAAAUGGAUGAAUAAAAGGUGAAUAAGAACUUUUACCAA